GUCCAGUGCUAAGUUUUAGGAUUUUCACCGGAAAAACUACAGAAGCUGAAAACUAAACCAGACACCAUCACACCAAUGUUUCAACUCAAGACAGCAGUAUCUCAACGCCGAGCCUCAGUUUUUGGUGACAGUGAUACAAAUAGGCAAGCCCAAGAGACUAAAGUGGAGAAAGAAAGACGUUACUUGCGACUGUAUAAAGCAGCACUGAGAGGUGAUUGGGAAGCUGCAAAUAGAAUUUUUAAAGAUGAUCCUGAUGCAGUAACUGCUAAGAUUUCAGGCAUUGAAGAGAUUGCUCUUCAUGUUGCAAUUAGCAAAGGUCGCACGUCCCUAGUAUUCAUACAGAAACUUGUAUAUUUAAUGAAUGGAAAUUCCUUGGAUGCGACCGUAAAUGUUUAUGGUGAAACACCUCUCCAUUAUGCUGCUAUUGCUGGAAAUAUUCCAGUAAUAAAAAUCUUGGUGACAACGAAUCGAGCGCUGCUGCAGAAAGAAAACUCAUAUGGCCUUACCCCACUUCACUAUGCUGCCCAAAAUUGCCACAAGGAAGCAGUUUCCUUUCUUUUGUCAGAAACAGAUUACCACCAGGAUCCAAGUCCAUUCACAGGCGAGAAGGGAGCCACACUUGUCAAUCUUUUUAUAAUUGCCGAUUUCUAUGGUCUGUAUAAUCCUCAAAUGUCAACUUAGCAAAGUUAGGCCUCCAACUUAGCAAAGUUAGGCCUCUUAAUUGUAGUCCCAAUUAAUUCUGAAUAAUUUAUUAUCUCUCGCAGCUCACUUUUCAUCCAAAUAUUUACAGGGAGCCAUUUUUCCUUUUCCAAUGAUCUCGACAUCUAUUUCCAUGUGCAGAUGAGGCUCUUCAUCUACUACGGAGGUAUCCCAAUUUAGCUAUUCAAAAAGAUAACAAAGGGAAAACUGCCUUAGAGGCGUUGGCCAAAAAGCCUUAUGCAUUCCCAAGUGGAAGCAAGCUUGGGUUUUGUGGACGCUUAAUAUAUCGAUUUGCUUCUGUAAAUACAGAUGAAGUCCCUCGAGGUGGAGAUUUGGAGAGUACAGUUGACAGUUCAAAAGAAAACCAAAAAGAAUCAAAGAAAUUUGGGUUUCUACAUAACAUAAAGAAUACAAAUUUGGAGCAUAAUCAAGCGCUACACCUACUCAGACUCUUGAUUACAGAAGCUUUAAAGGCAAGACCCUCAGAAACUCGCAUAUUACUGAAAAAACCACUACAAAUUUCUGCUAGAUUGGGGAUUUAUGAAAUGGUUGUAGAGAUUAUUAAGGCCUACCCUCGAUCAGAUUGGGUUGUUGAUCGUGAUGGAAACAACAUUUUUAAUUUGGCAAUAGUUCACCGCCAGGAGUUUUUUUUCUCCCUCCUAAAGAGACUUGAGUCCGCAUACUGUGCAUCUUGUUACCGCAUCAACAGACAAGAACGGGGAUAACAUAUUGCAUCUAGCUGCAAGGCUGGGACCAUCAAAUGAGACUCUUGGCGCUGCUCUGCAAACGCAUUCAGAGAUGAAAUGGUUUAAGGAUGUGGAAAAUGUUGUCCAACCAAUAUACCGAGAAAUGAUAAACCAUGAAGGGUGGACUCCGAGAGAAAUAUUUAGUAAGCAGCACAAGACCCUUGUCGAUGAAGCUAAGAAAUGGAUGAAGGAUAUAGCAACAUCAUGCAUGGUCGCAGCUACACUUGUUAUAACAGUUGUUUUUACGGCUGCUUUUACUGUGCCAGGGGGGCAACACACAGGAUCGAAGAAUCCCAAUCUUUUUAAAAGAAACUUCAUUUGUGAUUUUUGCUUUUUCAGACGCUCUGGCAUUCUUCUCUUCAUCCACUUCAUUGCUAAUGUUUCUAUGCAUAUUCACUUCAGAGUAUUCAGAAGAAAAUGCUGUCAAAUCUUUCAAAAUGUUGACCUUCGGUUUUUUCUCUCUUUUCUUUUCAAUAGUAGGUAUGGUUGCAGCGUUUGGUGCUUCCCUCUAUAUAGUCGUUUCUCACCGAGUGGAAUGGAUUGCAGCACCCAUCGGCUUACUAGCCUGCGUACCAGUAGCCUUAUUCGCAUAUUUUCAGUUUCCUCUAUGGUUCAGAGUAUCAGCAUUUAAGCCUAGCAUUAUCCCUCAAGAAUACCGAGGAAAUGAUCUUGGCGUCAUCGCAUAGAUUCCAUGAGUGAUGUUCUCCCCAAAUAACGUUUUUAUCUUAUAUUUCUUUUCUCUUACCAAUAUCUAUGCAACAUUGUCGGCUUUAUAUUUGUGUGGGAUUUGUAGGACGUGCAACAUUGUUUAUGUAUUUAUAUGAUGAUAUAUGUUGUGGUUCUGUUGUCCUGGUUCUAUUGUCUUCUAUUUUAGGAAUAAUGAAUAGUUUUCGAGCGAAAGGGAAUUUGAAUUCUGAUCUUUUUUUUCUUUAGCAGAGUUGCAUUCAUAUGUACUAUCUCACACCUCCGAAAAUUUGAUUUUUGUAGGUUUUUAACAAGAACACUGUUUAAGGUUUAACCGAGCCUUUGAAUAAAUGGAAAUGCAAA
rnacentral:misc_RNA from 1 species